CAGGCCUAAACAUGCAAGUCGGACGCACUCUUCGGAGUGAGUGGCAGACGGGUGAGUACGCGUGGGAACCUACCUAGUAGUGCGGAAUAGCCUCGGGAAACUGGGAUAAUACCGCAUACGCCCUUCGGGGGAAAGAUUUAUCGCUAUUAGAUGGGCCGCGUUAGAUUAGCUAGUUGGUGGGGUAAAAGCCUACCAAGGCGACGAUUAUAGCUGGUCUGAGAGGGUGAUCAGCCACACUGGGACUGAGACACGGCCAGACUCCUACGGGAGGCAGCAGUGGGGAAUAUUGGACAAUGGGCGCAACCUGAUCCAGCCAUGCCGCGUGAGUGAUGAAGGCCUUAGGGUUGUAAAGUCUUUCACCGGUGAAGAUAAUGACGGUAACCGGAGAAGAAGCCCCGGCUACUUCGUGCCAGCAGCCGCGGUAAU
rnacentral:rRNA from 1 species